rnacentral:rRNA from 1 species
GACGAACGCUGGCGGCGUGCUUAACACAUGCAAGUCGAACGGAAAGGCCCUGCUUUUGUGGGGUGCUCGAGUGGCGAACGGGUGAGUAACACGUGAGUAACCUGCCCUUGACUUUGGGAUAACUUCAGGAAACUGGGGCUAAUACCGGAUAGGAGCUCCUGCUGCAUGGUGGGGGUUGGAAAGUUUCGGCGGUUGGGGAUGGACUCGCGGCUUAUCAGCUUGUUGGUGGGGUAGUGGCUUACCAAGGCUUUGACGGGUAGCCGGCCUGAGAGGGUGAGCGGCCACCGUGGGACAGACAUACCGCCCAGAGUCCUACGGGGGCCCGCAGUGGGUGCGCGUGCUGCUUGGGCGAACGCCGGAUGCUGCAACGUCGCGUGCGGGAUGACGGCCUUCGGGUAUGAGACGGCAUUCGCCUGUGACGAAGCGUGUGGGACCGUAGUGAAUACAGAAGCAGCGGCUAAGCACGUG